rnacentral:sRNA from 1 species
AAAAAUUGUACUCAGCUGUUUACGGUACACUACCUGGUAAUUAUGUUUCUUAAAUAUAAGUAAUGCCGAUAUGGGCUGUUCUGUUGCUGCGCUGGUUUGUCUUGUACAGAUGUAUCGAAAUGAACAUGUUUCUUUUGAAUUUUUGAAGACUUUAAUUGGUUAAUAUGACGUUUAAGAAGAUAUUCAUUGUCAAGUUGAACUAAAUGGUGGAGCUGUCCAUAUUUCUCCAAAAUUGAACCCGUUUUCCAAAUGAUUUUGCUAUUUUUCAUAUGUUUAACUAAUACUCGUUCUCCCACGCUUAGUCUACGCACUCCUGGAAUGGGUUUGGUUGGUUGAGAUUUAACAGUAGGCAGCAUUGCGUCUAAUCGGAUUCGAAUUUGUCGAAUUAAGUAUAAAUCCGCUGGACUUUUCCCGCGUGAAAGGGGUGUUGCUCUUAUUUGAACGUUGCGCUCAGCCAUUUCUUGUGCAAUAAUUAUCAAAAUCAUCAUUUUCAAAUAUGCUGGCAUUAUCAGAUACCAUUGUAACUGAAUAUCCGUGGGUGGUGAAAAUGUCUGAUAAGAGCUGCAAUGAUAUAUCAGUUGUAGGUGCGUCACGUAUAAUUUUGAUUUCAGCCCAUCUGGAUUUCGCAUCAACUACAAUCAAAAAAUAAUUGUUCUGGAAUGGGCUUGCAUAGUCAAUAUGAAUUCGGUCCCAGUUCGCUUCUGGUUCCUCCCAAUGGUCUAAUGGGGCCUUUGCUGGUCUUGCUCAAUUUGAACGAAAGAUUCGCAUGCUCGUACCAUAGCUUCGAUAUAACGAUCAAUAACUCUCCAUGUGCAAUAUCUUCGGGCGAGCUGCUUCCGUGAUUCCGAAAUGUGUAUUGUGGAGUUCUCUCAGUGUCUGGGGCUGGAGACUUUUCGGUAUUAUCACUCGUUGGUCUUUAAAAAUGAUAUUUUGGUUAGCCGUGUAAAUUUCAUUACUCUUAGCACCAUUAUGAAGUUGUUCUAAAAGGCUAGAUGGAACAGAAUUUUUGCUCGUUUCUUGGGCUAUUAAUUCGGCGUUGAUAACUUCGCUACCACUACUGGCAACUCUGGGUCGAAUGGCAUGAGGACCUGGACACUCAAUAUUAUAUUUAUAAGUUUUAAAAAUGCUAUUUCGCAAAUAGUUGACCAGAAGAACUUCCUAUCCUUUUGUAGCAACUGGUGUAAGGGUGCUGUUAUAAUACCCAGAAAUCGUCUGACGUGAAAGGUCUAUUUGUAAUAUUGCUUGGAUUAUUGAUGGUGAUUUUGAAAUUUUAUUUUGUCGAAUUAAAUGUCCUAAAUAUUUA